CUCCUACGGGAGGCAGCAGUAGGGAAUUUUUCACAAUGGGCGAAAGCCUGAUGGAGCAAUACCGCGUGAAUGAUGAAGGUCUUCGGAUUGUAAAAUUCUUUUAUUAGGGACGAACGGCACUAAGAGGAAAUGCUUAGUGAUUGACUGUACCUAUUGAAUAAGUAACGGCAAACUAUGUGCCAGCAGCCGCGGUAAUACAUAGGUUACAAGCGUUAUCCGGAUUUACUGGGCGUAAAGCGAGCGCAGGCUGAUUAACAAGUCUAGUGUGAAAUGCAGUUGCUUAACAACUGUUUGCAUUGGAAACUGUUAGUCUGGAGUGUGAUAGGGAGUUCUGGAACUCCAUAUGGAGCGGUGGAAUGCGUAGAUAUAUGGAAGAACACCUGUGGCGAAAGCGAGAACUUAGGUCACAACUGACGCUUAGGCUCGAAAGUGUGGGGAGCAAAUAGGAUUAGAUACCCUAGUAGUCCACACCGUAAACGAUGGUUAUUAGUUGUUGGUACGAAGACAGA
rnacentral:rRNA from 1 species